rnacentral:pre_miRNA from 1 species
CAAAUACUCCCCCGUCCGAAAAUACUUGUCAUCAAAAUGGAUAAAAGGAAAUGUAUCUAGACGUAUUUUAGUUUUAGAUACAUCUCUUUUUAUCCAUUUUGAUGAAAAGUAUUUUCGGACGGAGGGAGUAGAAA